CAGAGGCACUGUACCACUCUGAACACACAGAAUCUUAUCUGAUUUUGGAAGCUAAGCAUGAUCAGGCCUGGUUUGUAUUUGGAGGGGAGGUGAGUAGUAACCUUGC
rnacentral:rRNA from 1 species